rnacentral:rRNA from 1 species
UACGUAGGGGGCAAGCGUUGUCCGGAUUUAUUGGGCGUAAAGAGCGUGUAGGCGGCUGGGUAGGUCCGCUGUGAAAACUCGAGGCUUAACCUCGAGACGUCGGUGGAAACCAUCCAGCUAGAGUCCGGAAGAGGAGAGUGGAAUUCCUGGUGUAGCGGUGAAAUGCGCAGAUAUCAGGAAGAACACCCGUGGCGAAAGCGGCUCUCUGGGACGGUACUGACGCUGAGACGCGAAAGCGUGGUGAGCGAACAGG